rnacentral:rRNA from 1 species
GACAGAGGGUGCAAACGUUGUUCGGAAUUACUGGGCGUAAAGCGCGUGUAGGCGGUUUGGUAAGUCGGAUGUGAAAGCCCUGGGCUCAACCCAGGAAGUGCAUUCGAUACUGUCAAGCUAGAGUAUCGGAGAGGUUGGUGGAAUUCUCGGUGUAGAGGUGAAAUUCGUAGAUAUCGAGAGGAACACCGGUGGCGAAGGCGGCCAACUGGACGAAUACUGACGCUGAGACUCGAAAGCGUGGGGAGCAAACAGG